AUUGAACGCUGGCGGCAGGCCUAACACAUGCAAGUCGAACGGUAACAGGAAGAAGCUUGCUUCUUUGCUGACGAGUGGCGGACGGGUGAGUAAUGUCUGGGAAACUGCCUGAUGGAGGGGGAUAACUACUGGAAACGGUAGCUAAUACCGCAUAACGUCGCAAGACCAAAAAGGGGGACCUUCGGGCCUCUUGCCAUCGGAUGCGCCCAGAUGGGAUUAGCUAGUAGGUGGGGUAACGGCUCACCUAGGCGACGAUCCCUAGCUGGUCUGAGAGGAUGACCAGCCACACUGGAACUGAGACACGGUCCAGACUCCUACGGGAGGCAGCAGUGGGGAAUAUUGCACAAUGGGCGCAAGCCUGAUGCAGCCAUGCCGCGUGUAUGAAGAAGGCCUUCGGGUUGUAAAGUACUUUCAGCGGGGAGGAAGGGAGUAAAGUUAAUACCUUUGCUCAUUGACGUUACCCGCAGAAGAAGCACCGGCUAACUCCGUG
rnacentral:rRNA from 1 species